rnacentral:lncRNA from 10 species
ACAUAGGCUCCAGAAAACAAGAAGCAAGACUGGAAAGCUGGGGAUGAUUGUACGCCCUCGCCUGAAUCUUACGUGGUUCCUCCUUCUUCCACCUGGCCAGUGCAGAGCCGUGGGUGCCACGUGGCCACUUCUGGAUUGGGUUCCCCUUGGCCUGCCACCCUGUCCUUCUGCUUUCCCACUUUGCCAGCCAGAGUCAAUUUGAGGACGCCAAGUUCUCCUCUCCAUACAGAGCUCCUGGUCUCCUUGUAACUUGUAACUCCUGGGCACAGUUACAAGUGCUGAAUUCUUGCGAGGAUGAACUCAAGAUACAAAAUAUGCUUGGCAACUCACCCCUGAGUGGCCACAGGCACACGCAGGAGUCGAACCCACCCACCUCUGCUGACAGUCAUGGGUCAAGCUCAAAGUCCUGGCUGCUUCUCUGCUCAAGAUCUGUGCCCGCAGAGAGAGCCUGCUCCAGCCUCUUUGCUACAGCCUUGAGUCUUCUGCGAAGAAAAGACACAGAGGCAAAGAGAAACACAUAGAGAGGAGAAUGCCUCGUGAAAAUGGAGACCGAGAUUGGUGCAAUGUGUCCACAAGCCAGGGAAUGCCAACGUGGCCAGCAACCACCAGAAGCUGGGAGAGAGGCAUGGAACAGAGUCCUCGGAGCCUCCAGAAGGAACCAACCCUGUUGAUACCUUGACUGAAAACUUCCAGCCUCCAGAACUGUGACAGAAUUAAUUUCUGUUAUUUAAAGCCAUUCAGUCUGUGGUAAUUUGUUACAUCAGCCCUGAAUAGCAAAUACAGAUGACCCAGGUUUAAAUCCUAGUUCUGCCACUUAUGAGCGUGGGUACAUAACUACUUUCUAGAGCCCCGGUUUCCUCAUCUGUAAAAAACCUCAUACGGUUAUUAAGAAGAUCAAAUGAGAUACAAACAUAAAUUCUUAACAGUGCUGGCAUGUUAAUUGUUCAAUAAAUAUGAGUUAUUUACAACAAUUGUGAUAGUAAUGAGUAACACAGAGAAAUGAGAAUUGACUUAACA